rnacentral:rRNA from 1 species
UACGUAGGCAGCAAGCGUUGUUCGGAGUUACUGGGCGUAAAGAGUGCGUAGGCGGUCCUCUAAGUUCGGUGUGAAAUCUCCCGGCUCAACUGGGAGGGUGCGCCGGAAACUGGGGGGCUUGAGUGUGGGAGGGGAAAGCGGAAUUCCUGGUGUAGCGGUGAAAUGCGUAGAUAUCAGGAGGAACACCGGCGGUGUAGACGGCUUUCUGGACCACGACUGACGCUGAGGCACGAAAGCGUGGGGAGCAAACAGG